AGAGGCGAUGAAGGGCGUGCUAAUCUGCGAUAAGCGCCGGUAAGGUGAUAUGAACCGUUAUAACCGGCGAUACCCGAAUGGGGAAACCCAGUGUGACUCGUCACACUAUCAUUAACUGAAUCCAUAGGUUAAUGAGGCGAACCGGGGGAACUGAAACAUCUAAGUACCCCGAGGAAAAGAAAUCAACCGAGAUUCCCCCAGUAGCGGCGAGCGAACGGGGAGGAGCCCAGAGCCUGAAUCAGCAUGUGUGUUAGUGGAAGCGUCUGGAAAGGCGCGCGAUACAGGGUGACAGCCCCGUACACAAAAGCGCAUGUGCUGUGAGCUCGAUGAGUAGGGCGGGACACGUGGUAUCCUGUCUGAAUAUGGGGGGACCAUCCUCCAAGGCUAAAUACUCCUGACUGACCGAUAGUGAACCAGUACCGUGAGGGAAAGGCGAAAAGAACCCCGGCGAGGGGAGUGAAAAAGAACCUGAAACCGUGUAC
rnacentral:rRNA from 1 species